rnacentral:rRNA from 1 species
GACGAACGCUGGCGGCGUGCUUAACACAUGCAAGUCGAACGGAAAGGCCCUGCUUUUGUGGGGUGCUCGAGUGGCGAACGGGUGAGUAACACGAGAGUAACCUGCCCUUGACUUUGGGAUAACUUCAGGAAACUGGGGCUAAUACCGGAUAGGAGCUCCUGCUGCAUGGUGGGGGUGGGAAAGUUUCGGCGGUUGGGGAUGGACUCGCGGCUUAUCAGCUUGUUGGUGGGGUAGUGGCUUACCAAGGCUUUGACGGGUAGCCGGCCUGAGAGGGUGACCGGCCACAUUGGGACUGAGAUACGGCCCAGACUCCUACGGGAGGCAGCAGUGGGGAAUAUUGCACAAUGGGCGGAAGCCUGAUGCAGCAACGCCGCGUGCGGGAUGACGGCCUUCGGGUUGUAAACCGCUUUCGCCUGUGACGAAGCGUGAGUGACGGUAAUGGGUAAAGAAGCACCGGCUAACUACGUG